rnacentral:rRNA from 1 species
UCUACGUCGGCGACCGGCGCACGGGUGCGUAACGCGUAUGCAACCUACCCAUUACAGGGGGAUAACACUGAGAAAUCGGUACUAAUACCCCAUAACAUCCAGGGAGGCAUCUUCUUGGGUUGAAAACUCCGGUGGUAAUGGAUGGGCAUGCGUUGUAUUAGUUAGUUGGUGGGGUAACGGCUCACCAAGACAACGAUACAUAGGGGGACUGAGAGGUUAACCCCCCACAUUGGUACUGAGACACGGACCAAACUCCUACGGAAGGCAGCAG